rnacentral:lncRNA from 1 species
CACGGACUACAGAGUGGUGGGUCGAGUUACUUUCAGAGAUUCCAUUCUCAGAGAAGACCCAGCGCUUCAGGUGGAGGAGAAUUUAUGCACAGCGGACCCACCUGUGAACUCUGGCUAACUCUUCCAUCCACUACACAGGACUUGCCACAACGAUCUUGUCCAGGAGUGGGUGAAGAGCUGUCAGGCCUAAGCAUCCAUCAGCUAGUGUCUCCUGAAGCUCUGUUCACAGCCUGUUUCCAGGUUUAUCCAGAUCACAAAGGACUUGGAAUUU